AGUGAACCAGUACCGUGAGGGAAAGGCGAAAAGAACCCCGGCGAGGGGAGUGAAAAAGAACCUGAAACCGUGUACGUACAAGCAGUGGGAGCCCCACCACCAAAGCAUUCUCUGGUGUUGAAGGCCCUGCAAAGCAGCAUCGCGGUGGCGGAGCGUCGUUUGCGACGCCCAACACACAAAACAAGCGGUGAGUGCUUUGGGGUGGGGUGACUGCGUACCUUUUGUAUAAUGGGUCAGCGACUUAUAUUCUGUAGCAAGGUUAACCGAAUAGGGGAGCCGGAGGGAAACCGAGUCUUAAUUGGGCGUUAAGUUGCAGGGUAUAGACCCGAAACCCGGUGAUCUAGCCAUGGGCAGGUUGAAGGUUGGGUAACACUAACUGGAGGACCGAACCGACUAAUGUUGAAAAAUUAGCGGAUGACCUGUGGCUGGGGGUGAAAGGCCAAUCAAACCGGGAGAUAGCUGGUUCUCCCCGAAAGCUAUUUAGGUAGCGCCUCGUGAAUUCAUCUCCGGGGGUAGAGCACUGUUUCGGCUAGGGGGCCAUCCCGGCUUACCAACCCGAUGCAAACUGCGAAUACCGGAGAAUGUUAUCACGGGAGACACACGGCGGGUGCUAACGUCCGUCGUGAAGAGGGAAACAACCCAGACCGCCAGCUAAGGUCCCAAAGUCAUGGUUAAGUGGGAAACGAUGUGGGAAGGCCCAGACAGCCAGGAUGUUGGCUUAGAAGCAGCCAUCAUUUAAAGAAAGCGUAAUAGCUCACUGGUCGAGUCGGCCUGCGCGGAAGAUGUAACGGGGCUAAACCAUGCACCGAAGCUGCGGCAGCGACGCUGAUGCGUUGUUGGGUAGGGGAGCGUUCUGUAAGCCUGUGAAGGUGUGUCGUGAGGCAUGCUGGAGGUAUCAGAAGUGCGAAUGCUGACAUAAGUAACGAUAAAGCGGGUGAAAAGCCCGCUCGCCGGAAGACCAAGGGUUCCUGUCCA
rnacentral:rRNA from 1 species